rnacentral:rRNA from 1 species
UACGUAGGGGGCUAGCGUUGUUCGGAAUUACUGGGCGUAAAGCGCCCGUAGGCGGUCUGUUAAGUCGGGGGUGAAAUCCUGGGGCUCAACCUCAGAAUUGCCUCCGAUACUGGCAGUCUCGAGUGCGGGAGAGGUGAGUGGAAUUCCCAGUGUAGAGGUGAAAUUCGUAGAUAUUGGGAAGAACACCAGUGGCGAAGGCGGCUCACUGGCCCGUAACUGACGCUGAGGUGCGAAAGCGUGGGGAGCAAACAGG